rnacentral:rRNA from 1 species
AGGUCAAGCUACAAAGGGCGCAUGGUGAAUGCCUUGGCAUCAGGAGCCGAUGAAGGACGCGAUAAGCUGCGAUAAGCUUCGGGUAGACGCACAUAGUCAGAGAUCCGAAGAUUUCCGAAUGAGGAAACUCACAUGGGAAACCCCAUGUAUCAUAAAGUGAAUACAUAGCUUUAUGAAGGUAAACCCAGGGAACUGAAACAUCUAAGUACCUGGAGGAAGAGAAAGAAAAAUCGAUUUUCUUAGUAGCGGCGAGCGAAAAGGAAAGAGCCCAAACCAGAGAUUUAUCUCUGGGGUUGCGGACAGAACAUAACGAGAAAUCAUGGUUAAUUGAACACAACUGGAAAGUUGGACCAUAGGGGUAAUAGUCCCGUAAGUGAAAACUAUGAUAAUCAGUUCUGCACCAGAGUACCACGAGACACGUGAAACCUUGUGGGAAGCAGGGAGGACCACCUCCCAAGGCUAAAUACUACCUGAUGACCGAUAGUGAAGCAGUACCGUGAGGGAAAGGUGAAAAGAACCCCGGGAGGGGAGUGAAAUAGAACCUGAAACCAUGUGCCUACAACCGAUCAAAGCACCUUAUGUGUGUGAUGAUGUGCUUUUUGUAGAACGAGCCAACGAGUUACGGUAUGUAGCAAGGUUAAGUACUUAAGGUACGGAGCCGAAGGGAAACCGAGUCUUAAUAGGGCGACUAGUUGCAUGCUGUAGACCCGAAACCGGGUGACCUAUCCAUGGCCAGGUUGAAGCGAGGGUAAAACCUCGUGGAGGACCGAACCACGUUGCUGUUGAAAAAGCAUGGGAUGAGCUGUGGAUAGCGGAGAAAUUCCAAUCGAACUCGGAUAUAGCUGGUUCUCCUCGAAAUAGCUUUAGGGCUAGCGUCGGAAAAUGUGAGUAGUGGAGGUAGAGCACUGAAUAGGCUAGGGGGCAUAGCGCUUACCGAACCUUAUCAAACUCCGAAUGCCAUAUACUAUCAGUCCGGCAGUCAGACUGUGAAAGAUAAGUUCCAUGGUCAAAAGGGAAACAGCCCAGAUCGUCAGCUAAGGUCCCAAAGUGUAAGUUAAGUGGAAAAGGAUGUGGGAUUUCUAAGACAACUAGGAUGUUGGCUUAGAAGCAGCCACUCAUUAAAAGAGUGCGUAAUAGCUCACUAGUCAAGAGAUCCUGCGCCGAAAAUGUCCGGGGCUCAAACUUACCACCGAAGCUACGGGUUCACAAUUUAUUGUGAGCGGUAGAGGAGCGUCGUAAUCGGGCUGAAGUCGUACCGUAAGGAGCGGUGGACUGAUUACGAGUGAGAAUGUUGGCAUUAGUAGCGAGAUGUAGGCGAGAAUCCUACAGGCCGAAUAUCUAAGGUUUCCUGAGUAAAGUUUGUCUUCUCAGGGUUAGUCGGGACCUAAGGCGAGGCCGAAAGGCGUAGUCGAUGGACAAUUGGUUGAUAUUCCAAUACCACUAUAAUCGUUAUUAUCGAUGGUGUGACGGAGAAGGAUAGGAUGUGCCAGCUAUUGGAUGCUGGUCUAAGCGUUAAGGGAGUCAGAGUAGGCAAAUCCGCUCUGGCAAUUCUGAGGCGUGAUGGGGAAGGUUCUACGGAACCGAAGUAUCUGAUUUCAUGCUUCCAAGAAAAGCAUCUAGAGAGAGAAGUAGUGCCCGUACCGCAAACCGACACAGGUAGAUGGGGAGAGAAUCCUAAGGCCGACGGAAGAAUUGCAGUUAAGGAACUAGGCAAAUUGACCCCGUAACUUCGGAGAAGGGGUGCCUGAGAAAUCAGGCCGCAGAGAAUAGGCACAAGCAACUGUUUAACAAAAACACAGGUCUCUGCUAAAGCGAAAGCUGAUGUAUAGGGGCUGACGCCUGCCCGGUGCUGGAAGGUUAAGGGGAACACUUAGUGGUAACGCGAAGGUGUGAACUUAAGCCCCAGUAAACGGCGGCCGUAACUAUAACGGUCCUAAGGUAGCGAAAUUCCUUGUCAGGUAAGUUCUGACCCGCACGAAUGGCGUAAUGACUUGUGCACUGUCUCAACUGCAAAUCCGGCGAAGUUGUAGUGCGAGUGAAGAUGCUCGCUACCCGCGAUUGGACGGAAAGACCCCGUAGAGCUUUACUGUAGCUUAGCAUUGAAUUUCGGUAUUGUCUGUACAGGAUAGGUGGGAGACUGGGAAACUAGGGCGUCAGCCUUAGUGGAGUCGUUGUUGGGAUACCACCCUGAUAGUAUUGAAGUUCUAACUGGAUGCCAUGAAACUGGUGACAGGACAUUGUUAGGUGGGCAGUUUGACUGGGGCGGUCGCCUCCUAAAAUGUAACGGAGGCGCCCAAAGGUUCCCUCAGAACGGUCGGAAAUCGUUCGAAGAGUGCAAAGGCAGAAGGGAGCCUGACUGCGACACCUACAAGUGGAGCAGGGACGAAAGUCGGGCUUAGUGAUCCGGUGGUACCUCGUGGGAGGGCCAUCGCUCAACGGAUAAAAGCUACCUCGGGGAUAACAGGCUGAUCUCCCCAAGAGUUCACAUCGACGGGGAGGUUUGGCACCUCGAUGUCGGCUCGUCGCAUCCUGGGGCUGAAGUAGGUCCCAAGGGUUGGGCUGUUCGCCCAUUAAAGCGGCACGCGAGCUGGGUUCAGAACGUCGUGAGACAGUUCGGUCCCUAUCCGUCGCGGGCGUAGGAAAUUUGAGAGGAGCUGUCCUUAGUACGAGAGGACCGGGAUGGACUGACCUAUGGUGUACCAGUUGUUUCGCCAGAAGCAUAGCUGGGUAGCUAAGUCGGGAAGGGAUAAACGCUGAAAGCAUCUAAGUGUGAAGCCCACCUCAAGAUUAGAUUUCCCAUAGCGUAAGCUAGUAAGACCCCUUGAAGACUACAAGGUUGAUAGGUCAGAGGUGUAAGUAUGGUAACAUAUUUAGCUGACUGAUACUAAUAGGUCGAGGGCUUGACCAAU